rnacentral:rRNA from 1 species
AUAGCGCAUAGUACCGUGAGGGAAAGGUGAAAAGAACCCCGGGAGGGGAGUGAAAAAGAACCUGAAACCCUGUGUUUACAAGCAGUGAAAGUGCGAGCAAGGCACGAUCACGUACUUUUUGUAGAACGGACCGGCGAGUUACGUUAUGCAGCAAGGUUAAGAACUGAAGGUUCGGAGCCGAAGCGAAAGCGAGUCUGAAUAGGGCGAUAGUUGCAUGACGUAGACCCGAAACCGGGUGACCUAUCCAUGAGCAGGUUGAAGUGGAGGUAAAGCUCCAUGGAGGACCGAACCAGACGUCUGUUGAAAAAGGCGGGGAUGACUUGUGGAUAGGGGAGAAAUUCCAAUCGAACCCGGAGAUAGCUGGUUCUCCUCGAAAUAGCUUUAGGGCUAGCCUCAUGGAUCAUUGAUGGGGGUAGAGCACUGAAUGUGCGCGGGGGCCACAAAGCCUACCAAACGCUAUCAAACUUCGAAUACCAUACAAUGCAGACCAUGGGAGUCAGUCCGCGAGAGAUAAGUUCCGCGGGCAAAAGGGGAACACCCCAGAUCAACCGCUAAGGUCCCCAAGUUCACGUUAAGUGGAGAAGGAUGUGGAAUUGCACAGACAACCAGGAUGUUGGCUCAGAAGCAGCCACACAUUUAAAGAGUGCGUAAUAGCUCACUGGUCGAGUGAUUGUGCGCCGAAGAUGUCCGGGGCUAAACGUGACACCGAAGCGAUGGGUGCAUCUGAAAGGAUGCGCGGUAGAGGAGCAAUGUGCAGAGGCAGAAGCCGUAUCGAGAGGCACGGUGGACACUGCACAAGAGAGAAUGCCGGUAUGAGUAGCGAGAGGCAUGCGAGAAACAUGCCCGUCGAAAGCCCAAGGUUUCCUGGGGAAGGUUCAUCCGCCCAGGGUAAGUCGGGGCCUAAGCCGAGGACGGAAGUCGUAGGCGAUGGACAGCAGGUGUAGAUUCCUGCACUACCGAUGGAAUGAAGCAGUGACACAGAAGGAUAACUCGAGCAGGGUGAUGGUCAACCCUGUGCAAGCAUCAAGGUUGGGUUGUAGUGAAGUACGCAACCCUAUAAGCUGAGGUGUGAUGCGGACCGAAAUUUCAGUAGGGAAGCGAGUGAGUUCACGCUGGCGAGAAAAGCUGCUAGUACAUCCAAAGGUACCCGUACCGGAAACCGACGCAGGUGGGCGAGGAGAGAAUCCUGAGACGAACGGGAGAACCCUUGUUAAGGAACUCGGCAAAAUGACCCCGUAACUUCGGGAGAAGGGGUGCCUCGAAAGAGGCCGCAGAGAAUAGUCACAAGCGACUGUUUAGCAAAAACACAGGUAUCUGCGAAAGCGAGAGCUGACGUAUAGGUGCUGACACCUGCCCGGUGCUGGAAGGUUAAGGGAACAUGUUAGAGCAAUCGAAGCAUCGAACCGAAGCCCCAGUAAACGGCGGCCGUAACUAUAACGGUCCUAAGGUAGCGAAAUUCCUUGUCGGGUAAGUUCCGACCCGCACGAAUGGUGUAACGACUUGUGAGCUGUCUCAACAGGGGGCCCGGUGAAAUUGAAGUAUGGGUGAAGAUGCCCAUUACCCGCGACUGGACGGAAAGACCCCGUAGAGCUUUACUGCAGCCUGAUAUUGAGUUUCGGUAACUGAUGCACAGGAUAGGUGGGAGUCUGAGAGACAUGGGUUUCGGCUCAUGAGGAGACGAUGUUGGGAUACCACUCUUCGGUUACUGAAAUUCUAACAUAGCUCUGUGAAACCAGAGGAUGGACAGUGUCAGGUGGACAGUUUGACUGGGGCGGUCGCCUCCGAAAGAGUAACGGAGGCGCCCAAAGGUACCCUCAGAAUGGAUGGAAACCAUUCGAAGAGAGCAAAGUCAGAAGGGUGCUUGACUGCGAGACCAACAAGUCGAGCAGGUACGAAAGUAGGGCUUAGUGAUCCGGCGGUAAGAGAGUGGAAUUGCCGUCGCUCAACGGAUAAAAGCUACCUCGGGGAUAACAGGCU